ensembl:lncRNA
GUUAGAGUUGCUACCACUAUCAGUCUGUUUGUGGCUGUGAUUAUAGUUGCAGUCAUUUACAGGAUGAGAUCAGGUGAUCCCCAGGGCAAACCAAACACCUCUGCUCAUAGUGUUGACUCUGCUGUAACCAGCCCGUCCUUGUAGCCUUGUAGCCUUAUGGGCUCUUUAGACACAGCUGUUUCCAGACUCUUCAUCAUCCUCCAUCACCUGCACUGGAGCUGCACUGGCUGGGGUUCCAGGGAGUCUAUAACUGCUUUAAAGAGGCAUUAAUGUUCAACUCCAGUUUUUUUUUUAUCUUUAAU